AGGGUUCGAUUAUGGCUCAGGAUGAACGCUAGCGGCAGGCUUAACACAUGCAAGUCGAGGGGUAACAGGGAGAAGCUUGCUUUUCUGCUGACGACCGGCGCACGGGUGCGUAACGCGUAUACAAUCUGCCUUAUACAGAGGGAUAGCCUUUAGAAAUGAAGAUUAAUACCUCAUAGUCUAUUAACAUAGCAUUAUGUAAAUAGUAAAGCUUCGGUGGUAUAAGAUGAGUAUGCGUCCUAUUAGUUAGUUGGUGAGGUAACGGCUUACCAAGACGACGAUAGGUAGGGGCCCUGAGAGGGGGAUCCCCCACACUGGUACUGAGACACGGACCAGACUCCUACGGGAGGCAGCAGUGAGGAAUAUUGGACAAUGGAGGCAACUCUGAUCCAGCCAUGCCGCGUGCAGGAAGACGGCCCUAUGGGUUGUAAACUGCUUUUAUAUAGGAAGAAACACUCUCACGUGUGAGAGCUUGACGGUACUACAAGAAUAAGGACCGGCUAACUCCGUGCCAGCC
rnacentral:rRNA from 1 species